UUGCCUACGGGGGGCAGCAGUGGGGAAUAUUGGGCAAUGGGCGCAAGCCUGACCCAGCAACGCCGCGUGAAGGAAGAAGGCUUUCGGGUUGUAAACUUCUUUUCUCAGGGACGAAGCAAGGGACGGUACCUGAGGAAUAAGCCACGGCUAACUACGUGCCAGCAGCCGCGGUAAUACGUAGGUGGCAAGCGUUAUCCGGAAUUACUGGGCGUAAAGGGCGCGUAGGUGGGCGCUUAAGUCAGGUGUGAAAACUCCGGGCUCAACCUGGAGACUGCACUUGAAACUGGGUGUCUUGAGGGCAGGAG
rnacentral:rRNA from 1 species